rnacentral:rRNA from 1 species
UACGGAGGGUGCAAGCGUUAUCCGGAUUUACUGGGUUUAAAGGGUGCGCAGGCGGAUCUGUAAGUCAGCGGUGAAAUCUCCGGGCUUAACCCGGAAACUGCCGUUGAUACUAUAUAUCUUGAAUGCUGUGGAGGUAAGCAGAAUAUGUCAUGUAGCGGUGAAAUGCUUAGAGAUGACAUAGAAUACCUAUUGCGAAGGCAGCUUACUACGCAGAUAUUGACGCUCAUGCACGAAAGCGUGGGGAUCAAACAGG